CUUUUAUUGUGACGAGUAACAUCCAAUAACUCGUCUGUGACAUCCAUCAUCUUUCUUUUAGCUGACUUCAACUGUUGAGAUACUGAAAUUGUGUCCCUCCUUUUGAAAGAUACUGAAAUUGUGUCCCUCCUUUUGAAAGAUGCCACGUUCAAACAAAAGGUCUCUGGCAGCCAAGAAGAGAUAUGUUGACUGUGGAUCACAAUCACAGGACCAGGGGUCCUCUGACAAGAUGCCACGUCUGAGUAAGCCGCUCCUGGCAGCUGAGAAGAAAGAAGCUGACCUUCAAUCACAUUCUGAAAACAUGCCAAACGAUAUGCCAAACGAUAUGCCAAACCCUUUGCCAAACCCUAUGCCAAACCCUAUGCCGAACCCUAUGCCGAACCCUUUGCCGAACCCUUUGUCGAACCUCGUUUCAAAUCUGGUUUCAAAUCUGGUUUCAAAUCUGGUGUCAAACCCUUUGCCAAACCCUUUGCCAAACCCUUUGGCAGACAAAUAUGCUGACUAUAUGCCAAACUCUCCACUCACUCUCUCUGACUCUCUACCAAAGUCUCAUGCCUCUUAUGGAAACUCAGUGCCAUACUGUGUCAAUAAACAAACUGUAACUAAUGAUUGUUCCUGUUUGACUCAAUCUGAUGACUUUCCAGAAAGAUCUGUGCUGAUGGGGUCCUUUCAUCAAGGUCAUCCACGGUUUGGAAAUGUGCGCAACAAGCAGUGUGGUGCCAUCAGUUUGACUGCUGUUUUGAAGUCCAAGAUGAAGCACGUGUGGAGCUGGGAUACUGGAGAUCUUGAUGAUGUUUUGAUUAAGGGAACUGUUCUUUACAGGUCAAUGAGUGCACAGGGUAAAAUAAGAGACCAAGGAAGGGGUUACAUUGCUGUGUCUGAAUUGCCUAGACAAUAUGAAGUGUGGAAUUGUGAUUUCUCAAUAAACUUUGCUGAUUCUUA